CCUCCCCGGCGCGAGCCGCAGGUCACGCAGCGCUGCCCGUGCCGCCGUGCCGCCCCAAGCUAGGCCACCGAGGAGGACGAGAACGGAGGUGGCCGGAUCCGCACAGGGCAUGGCGGAUCUGCGGUGGCCGGCCCUCUGCCCCCUCGUCCCCCCUCCUCCCGCGACCUCCAAUGUUGGCGGCGGCAGCCGGAUCCGGGCGCUCCGAGCUCCGUGCGUGCGGGCGGCUCGGAGGAGCAGUGCUCACGGCGUCGCGGCCUCGACGUUGGCCUCCCUCUCUGACGACUCCCGUCACGGCACCGCACCUGCUGCCAUGCGCCCUGCUCUGCUCAGCAUGGCGAUUCUGGAUUUGAUUUUGUUUUGUUUCUCUUGUUUGUGUCCAUCUCAGUUCAUUGCUCCUCGAUUUGCGAUGAUAUUCAUGGUCUCAAUCGUCGCUGUUGGUCUGGGACUCAAGGUUGGAGGAGGACGGCGAGGUGCUGGACAGCAGCUCGGCAGCAUCUACAGGGGUCUGGAGUAUCUGCAGCUUCCGUGCCCCCCUCCUGCUCCUUCCUGCUCACUAUUGCUGGCGCCAUCGACCUCCCAUGGAUGAGGCCCUCAUUUUGUUCGAUCAAAUGGGCAUAAAGCGAACAUCUGUAGUGGAAUGUUAGCUUGAGCGACUCCACCCACAGGAACAGCUUGGGCUGCUGUUGUCGCUCUUGCUAAUGCAUUUUGGAUCAACCCAGCCUGUGCGAUCCUUUGUCUUAUGUUGGGCUGCCUAACAAGGUACUCAGCCGCUGCUACUGCUCCUGCUUUUGCUUCACUGGGAGACAAUGGAACCCUUAACAGAAGAAAUUGAUGUAAGGUGUCUGCAAUCACCAAAGCUAUUGCUGGUGGCAUUGGAUUCAGAAAUCGAGCAGCAAGUGGCAGUACAGGCUGAACUGCUGCUGUUACAGGCCGAGCUGCUGCUCUUGCUACAGCUGCACUGUGUUGCAAAUGGUGCCAUUCCUUGAGCCCAGCUGCUGCCCCAAAUAUUGCAGCUUCGAUGUGUCCUAUGGUAUCCACAGAGUAGUCCGCCUCCAAAUGAGCUUGGCCAUUUCGCCGGCAGGUGAAGAAAUCAUCUAUGUUAUCAGCAUAUUGAACUCUUGUUGUCAGGAACGCCUGUACCACGUUAACCAUGUUGAUGGUUGCAGGGCGGUUCCAUGGAGCGUACCGGAGAACACAACAAUGGAUGGGUGUUGUCCAUUGCACUUGCCAACCAAAGACUUGCACCGGGAGGUUGUAUAGCUUGCAUAAUCCUUGUAUAUUUUGCUGCAUCUGUCUUCUCGAUAACCUUGAGACGCUUAUGCAUCCGAUCAAACAAGGCCGCUUUGUUAUCUUC